rnacentral:lncRNA from 1 species
GGAAACACUACAGAAAACAGAAACUAUUCAUAUUGCUUUGGAAUGCAUUCGAAAAGGAUCUAUUCUCAUGUGUUGUGGAACAGGCAGCACAGGGGAAUUAAACCCUAACAUUGGAGCACUGGACACAGAGCUUAAUGAAGAACAUNGCUUUAGGGUAUAGAAGAAAUCGUGGGAGUGAAUGACUGUUUCACCACUAACAGAAUGAAAAACAUCACACAGAAACUCCUGGUGCUGCAGACAGAGGUGAAUAUUUUCACAACAGCAUGACUAAGUGGUUCUUUUUACAAAAUCAUACCCUAUUAGC